GAUGAACGCUGGCGGCGUGCCUAAUACAUGCAAGUCGAGCGAACAGACGAGGAUCUUGCUCGUCUGACGUUAGCGGCGGACGGGGGUGUAACGCGUGUAUAACCUACUUAUAUUAGGGGUAUAACUUGGAGAAACCGGCUCUUAUAGCGUAUAAGAUAUUGCACCGCGUGGUGCAAUGGUGAGUGUCGGCUUUUGUGUCUCUUCUAGAGGGAUCCGCGCCGCUUUAUCUAGUAGUUAAGGUAACGGGUUACCAAGGGUACGAUGCGUAGCCGACAUGACAGGGUGAUCGGCCGCACUGGAACUGAGACACGGUCCAGAGUGCCACGGGAGCCAGCAGGAGGGAAUCUUCCGCAAUGGGCGAAAGCCUGACGGAGCAGGGCCGAGUGAGUGAUGAAGGUCUUCGGAUCGUAAAGAUCUGUUAUUAGGGAAGAACAAAUGUGUAAGGAAAUAUGCACGUAUUGACGGUAACGAGUAAGAAAGCAACGGCUAACUACGUG
rnacentral:rRNA from 1 species